ensembl:Y_RNA Y_RNA Y RNA
GGUUAGUCCGCAUGCUGUAGUGUUUACAAUGAAUUGAUCACAACCAGUUACAGAUUUCUUGUCACAUCUCCACUCCCACUGCUCCAUGUGACUAGCCUUAA